UCCGUUGUGGUCUAGUGGCUAGGAUACAUCGCUCUCAGCACUUGGAUUCGUUCAAUCUCAUUCCGAUGUGGCCGGGGUUCGAUUCCCCGCAACGGAA